rnacentral:snRNA from 1 species
AUAUUUACUGGCAGGGGAGAUACCAUGAUCACGAAGGUGGUUUUCCCAGGGCGAGGCUCAUCCAUUGCACUCCGGAUGUGCUGACCCCUGUGAUUUCCCCAAAUGUGGGAAACUCGGCUGCAUAAUUUGUGGUAGUGGGGGACUGCGUUCGUGCUCUCCCAUG